AGGAGCAGCCCUGUGAUGCCUGGCAGAAGCUUUUUAGUCCUGUUGCCCUUGUUAGCUAAGAACCCCAGGGACGUGGGUGGAAGAGAGGCUUCCCCAGGUUUCCCUGAUGCACCCCAGAUGAGGAUCUGUUCUGGCACCUGCAUAGGCAGCUGUGCAAAUGUGCAGAAGGCAACCUUCCUUAGAAACUGGGAAGACUCUGGGGAAGCAGCCUCUUCCUGGCCUGCCCUGAGGGCCUGGGUCUGCAGCUGCCAGGGGACAUCAGCCAAGUGGAGCACAUGGGCAGCAUAUGUGACCUGACCAUUUCUGCACUUUUCCGCCAGAAGCUGCAUCUCAAGUGCCUACAGGGACCCAGCAGUGUGGCCCAGAAAUGCCAAAAGGUUGGACACCCCGACCAGGAAGCUGAGUUGGAGUAAAACGGUGGCCUGUCAGGCUGGGUUCACAGAGCUAGUCCAUGAGAGGACGUUGAGUACCUGGUGAGGAAGGCAGUCAUCCUUGGCAUGCUGUGUUCAUCCUCUCCGAGGGUCACAAAGGAAGUGGUUUGCUGUUAAGACGGACUGGAUGGUCAUCUGAUCCUUUAUAACAGCUUUAUAUUAGAGUGGAGCCCAUAAGUCUCUGUUGCUGGAGAUGACCUACCACAAGGACCAGGCUCUAAGGGCACUGAUUCAGCCAUCUUUGGUCUUACGAAGAAUCAUGAAUAUUCAUCAGACUUAAAGCGGCAUUAGGAAAAUAAAGCAGGGAAACCACUUCCCCGUCCAGCUGCUGGAACUCUCUCUCCUGUGGUCGUCAUUAGCCUCCUGGAAACAGUGGUCUGCGGUUGCCUCCCAGUCAGCAUUCCCAUGCAGCCUUCAGCCUCCACAGCCCUGAGAAGAUCAGCGGUGAUGGGUGCUCGCCUGUCAAGUAGGAUGCCAGUGUUCAUCAUUCUCUUCCUGUGUGAGAGUGCUCAGUUCUGCUUUGAAUAUGGCACAGCACCUGGCACAUGGCAGGCCUGCCAAGCAUUUGUAAAAGAGGUUUUAGAGAAGCAUGAAACCACAAGUCUUUUUGCUGGCUCUGAUUAGAAGUAAGAGCUUUUAUCCUCCAUAUGGGACUUGCUUGAGAAAAUCCAAUGUGUCCUAGCCAAGUUUAUUUCUUCUUCAUCUGUAAAGUAAUAGGGAGGGUAAUGGCUGCUGCCCAGACCUACCCGUGUGAGCUCAGGAGGGUGAUAAAAAACGAAUCCUGCUGUUGAAGUGUAACAUGUUGACAUAAAGAGUGACAUAUCCUCCCCAUCUCCUGUCAUCUGUCCCUGCAGCCUAGGGCCUGUGGAGGGUGGGGGCAGGAGAUUCGGAGAUCUGACAGAUGGUUAUAGAGAGAAUGCCCCUACAGGAGGUCAGAGUGAAUUAUCCCAAUACAAACAAAACUAAUUAGAAGAUUAGCCAUUUUUUGAACAAGCACACAGGUCAAAUACCGAGCUAAGAAUGUUACAUACCACUUCUUUCUGUAAAGCCACUCUUGUAAGAUGGAUUUUGUGAUUUCCCAUUUCACAUUUGAGGAAACUGAAGCUCAGGGAGUUUAGGUAAUUUACCAAGGGCACAAAGCUAGUUAAGUGGGUUGGGAUACAUAAUCAGAAUACCAGUAAUGAACAUGUGUGUGCCAGGAUCUCUGUGAAGUGUGCUGCUUGGUCCUCACAAGCACCCUAGGAGCUAAGUUAUUGUUGUACCUUCGUUAUCACACGGGAAAUCCUUCUAGUAACCAGCCCGACAUCAGGUAGCUAGUAAGAAACUGUGCCAGUCAGCGAAUUCCAGAAACUGCAUGGCUGUAUUCCCUCUCUGCUUUGCAGGUCUGUUCGAGGUUGCUCUCUCAGCUCAUUUUCUGUUGCCAGCAUCCAUCGAGUACUCUUUCUUUGCUCCUCAAAGUCUAGCCUGCGGACCCGGAGCCUCAGUAUCACCUGGAAGUAUGUUACAAAGAACUGUGAGCUCCACUCCAGCCCCAGGGAAUCAGAAUCUGCUUUGUGAGAGACCAGGUCCUGGUCUAUCCAGCGGGUCUUAACCUUGUCUGCACAUUGAACUCCCCUGGGGAGCCUUAAGGAUUCCUGGUGCCUGGCUUCCACUGUCAGCAUUCUACCUGAAUCGUCUGAGUGUGGUCAGGCUGUUGCGCUUCUAAAAGCUUCCCCAGGGGAUUCUGAUGUGACAUCUGUCCGAAAACCGCUGCCUUAAGCACAUGCAGCAGUUGGUUCCUUCCUUCUCUCCCUCCCGCAUUCACCUUCUGUGCAUCCGACCUCACUGAAACACGCCUUGCUGGGGAGAUGGGCAAACACUGCCAAUAUAGUAGAGUAAGCACUGUGAAACUCAUUAUCCCGAGGGCCAGGGGACAUCCAGGGGCGGGCCUGAUGUCCGAGUCUGCAGGAAGGAAUCAAGGCAGACUGCUCAUAGGAAACCACAUUAAUCUCAAGGAUGGGUAGGAGCUCCUUGGACUUGUUAGAGGGACAGUGAGCUGGUGUGGGUGAUUGUUUACUAGAAAAGUGAGAUUCAUACAGUGGUAAGUUGUAGCAUAUCAUAGAGAUUAUUUAAUGAAUCUGAUGGUUUUUCUAACUUCUUUGAUGAUUGCCCACAUUCAUAGACACAUUUUAUGUGUCAGCCCAGAGUAUAUAUAAAGCUCAUGAAACAAUACCUUUUCUACAUGUGAUAUGUUUUGAUUUUUCUAGUCUCUCAAUUCUCUUUUUUUAGAAAAAAAAUUGCUGGUCAUGCUUAAUGGACCCACUGAUGGAUUACAAGCCACACCAUGAAAGAACUGACUUAAUUCCUUUGAUUUCCUCCUCCGAGGAAAGAAUAGCCCAGAAUAACUAAAUGAUGUGGCCUGAAGAGGAAGGAAAAAUGUGUUCAAAUUCCAAGGUGAAGGGUUGGUGUUAGAAAUAAAGGAAGCCUUCCUGCCGCAUUGGUUGUUGGGUAUUUCAGAAGGAUGUGCCUCUCCUGGAAGUCCCACCCACUUGCUAGGAGGCCAAGGCACAGCCUUGUAGAGAAGGCAGCAUGAUGACUUAAUCAAGGAGGUGGCCAGGUCCUUUAUAGCUCCGCUGAAAUAUUUUGGCUGUAUUAGUACUAGGAGGCAGGAAUUCUCAGUUUAGCUAAGUUUGGGGAGGGGUCAAUGCCACCUGGGAGGCAAGGAGAGGUCCCUUUUAGAAACAUUUAUACCUAUGACUAGUACAUACAACUCCCAGCCAUUCUGAUAUGUACCCUCCCCCCAUUAGGGCUAAAAUUCUAGCUGACAAUAAGCCCUAUUGCUCAGGUUGCUGGCUGUGUAUCCUACCACUCCAGGCAGGGAAAUCAAAGGACAGGACCACUGAUCUCUGGAGCCAUGGUUCCCCUCUUGCAGGUUUUGGAGGCCAAGAAAAAUUCAAAAUGAGCUCAGGGUUCAAUAGCAGAAUGUGAAUUUUUCAUUGUCUGAAGUGACAAAACUAAAGAACUUGAAAUAAACAGAAAAACAAAUCUGCCUAAAUCUAUCAAAAGAGCAGAAAGGACAUAACCUUGAACUGGAGGGAAGUCUUAUAAAUGGAAUACAUUUAGCUUUAGGAUAUUGUAAAGAAAUUUUUUUAUUCUGGUAAAUUACACAUAACAUAAAAUGAUCUUAACCAUUUUAAGGUUUUCAGCGUUGUUCAUUACAUUCCACCGCUGUGCAAUUGAUCUCCAGAAUUCCUUCCACCCCGCACAACUGAAACUCUGUCCCCAUUAACAACAUCUCACCAGUUCCCUCUGCCCCCAGUCCCCAGCACCCAUGACCCUACUUCCUGUCUCUAUGAAUUGGACUUCUCUAGGUCCCUCCAUAAGUAGAACUGGAUGGUGUUUGUCUUUUUUGUGGCUGGCUUAUUUCACUUAGCAUAAUGUCUUCAAGAUUCACCCAUGUUUUAGUACGUCAGAAUUGCCUUCCUUUCUAAGUCUGGUUAACAUUCCAGUGUACGACAGGCCACAUUCUGUUUACCCACUCACCUGUUCACAGACACAGGUCGCUUCCACCCUUUGACCGUUGUAAAUAACGCUGCUGGGAACAUGGGCAUGCGCAUGUGUGUUUGAGUCUCUGCUUUUGAUGCUCUUGGGUCCGUACCAGAGGUGCGGUUGCUGCAUCACGUGGUCAUUUUGUGCUUAAUUUAUUGAGGAACCAUCGUGCUGUUAAUAGACAUUUAGCUUUUCACAGAUCAGAAAGCAAUGUUGCCUUGUCCUCAUUUUUCUGGUUUCACUGUGAACACUUCCGCACAGACUGGCAUGGGUCUGCAGAUCUGUGCCUGGAAUUACGGUCCUGACAGAAGCAAACUUCGUCCUGAGGCUCUUCGCUCUUCACACGAGGAAGUCUGGAUUCUUUAUGUGUGGCCUGCGAAGAAAGAUAAUUAUUUUAAAUCAUAAAAUAUUCAUUAAGCAGUUUGGAAAAUUAUACAAAAGCCAUUAGCUUGAUUGCACUAAAUAGGAAAAACAAGACAGUUUCUGUUCUUCAGAUGAUCAAGCCAUUGCCAUUUCAAGUCUGGCUGUGGGUCACUCUCACUGCAGGACUGUGAACAGAGGGGACAAGGACCGACAUGGGUUUCCCCUGGAUGGGGCCAAGUUGACUGAAAUUCUCGAGGAGACGGCCCAGUUCCCAAAACUCUAGUCUCUCCAAAGGCCCUGUGCCUUGAGCUAGGGAAAAUUUUCUGCUUAGUGGGGCUUAAAAAUUUUUUUAAGGUGUACGUUUUAAAUUCUUUGUGGACACCAGAAGAAACUCUUUUGUUCCUGGAACUCCUGAGCUAUUAUCAAAUAACUUUAACUCAGUAGAAACAAAAUCCUGCUGUAUUAUAAAAUGGAAUUCUAAUU